UACGGGGGGGGCAAGCGUUGUUCGGAAUUACUGGGCGUAAAGGGCUCGUAGGUGGCCAACUAAGUCGGACGUGAAAUCCCUCAGCUUAACUGGGGAACUGCGUCCGAUACUGGAUGGCUUGAGUUUGGGAGAGGGAUGCGGAAUUCCAGGUGUAGCGGUGAAAUGCGUAGAUAUCUGGAGGAACACCGGUGGCGAAGGCGGCAUCCUGGACCAACACUGACACUGAGGAGCGAAAGCCAAGGGAGCAAACGGG
rnacentral:rRNA from 1 species